rnacentral:rRNA from 1 species
AGCACAGGUUUACCUGUGUGACUGCGUACCUUUUGUAUAAUGGGUCAGCGACUUAUAUUCUGUAGCAAGGUUAACCGAAUAGGGGAGCCGGAGGGAAACCGAGUCUUAAUUGGGCGUUAAGUUGCAGGGUAUAGACCCGAAACCCGGUGAUCUAGCCAUGGGCAGGUUGAAGGUUGGGUAACACUAACUGGAGGACCGAACCGACUAAUGUUGAAAAAUUAGCGGAUGACCUGUGGCUGGGGGUGAAAGGCCAAUCAAACCGGGAGAUAGCUGGUUCUCCCCGAAAGCUAUUUAGGUAGCGCCUCGUGAAUUCAUCUCCGGGGGUAGAGCACUGUUUCGGCUAGGGGGCCAUCCCGGCUUACCAACCCGAUGCAAACUGCGAAUACCGGAGAAUGUUAUCACGGGAGACACACGGCGGGUGCUAACGUCCGUCGUGAAGAGGGAAACAACCCAGACCGCCAGCUAAGGUCCCAAAGUCAUGGUUAAGUGGGAAACGAUGUGGGAAGGCCCAGACAGCCAGGAUGUUGGCUUAGAAGCAGCCAUCAUUUAAAGAAAGCGUAAUAGCUCACUGGUCGAGUCGGCCUGCGCGGAAGAUGUAACGGGGCUAAACCAUGCACCGAAGCUGCGGCAGCGACGCUGAUGCGUUGUUGGGUAGGGGAGCGUUCUGUAAGCCUGCGAAGGUGGCCUGUGAGGGUUGCUGGAGGUAUCAGAAGUGCGAAUGCUGACAUAAGUAACGAUAAAGCGGGUGAAAAGCCCGCUCGCCGGAAGACCAAGGGUUCCUGUCCAACGUUAAUCGGGGCAGGGUGAGUCGACCCCUAAGGCGAGGCCGAAAGGCGUAGUCGAUGGGAAACGGGUUAAUAUUCCCGUACUUGGUGUUACUGCGAAGGGGGGACGGAGAAGGCUAUGUUGGCCGGGCGACGGUUGUCCCGGUUUAAGCGUGUAGGUGUGUGUUCCAGGUAAAUCCGGUUCACUUUAACACUGAGGCGUGACGACGAGGCACUACGGUGCUGAAGCAACAAAUGCCCUGCUUCCAGGAAAAGCCUCUAAGCAUCAGGUAACAUCAAAUCGUACCCCAAACCGACACAGGUGGUCAGGUAGAGAAUACCAAGGCGCUUGAGAGAACUCGGGUGAAGGAACUAGGCAAAAUGGUGCCGUAACUUCGGGAGAAGGCACGCUGACACGUAGGUGAAGUGAUUUACUCAUGGAGCUGAAGUCAGUCGAAGAUACCAGCUGGCUGCAACUGUUUAUUAAAAACACAGCACUGUGCAAACACGAAAGUGGACGUAUACGGUGUGACGCCUGCCCGGUGCCGGAAGGUUAAUUGAUGGGGUCAGCGCAAGCGAAGCUCCUGAUCGAAGCCCCGGUAAACGGCGGCCGUAACUAUAACGGUCCUAAGGUAGCGAAAUUCCUUGUCGGGUAAGUUCCGACCUGCACGAAUGGCGUAAUGAUGGCCAGGCUGUCUCCACCCGAGACUCAGUGAAAUUGAACUCGCUGUGAAGAUGCAGUGUACCCGCGGCAAGACGGAAAGACCCCGUGAACCUUUACUAUAGCUUGACACUGAACAUUGAGCCUUGAUGUGUAGGAUAGGUGGGAGGCUUUGAAGUGUGGACGCCAGUCUGCAUGGAGCCGGCCUUGAAAUACCACCCUUUAAUGUUUGAUGUUCUAACGUGGACCCGUGAUCCGGGUUGCGGACAGUGUCUGGUGGGUAGUUUGACUGGGGCGGUCUCCUCCUAAAGAGUAACGGAGGAGCACGAAGGUUGGCUAAUCCUGGUCGGACAUCAGGAGGUUAGUGCAAUGGCAUAAGCCAGCUUGACUGCGAGCGUGACGGCGCGAGCAGGUGCGAAAGCAGGUCAUAGUGAUCCGGUGGUUCUGAAUGGAAGGGCCAUCGCUCAACGGAUAAAAGGUACUCCGGGGAUAACAGGCUGAUACCGCCCAAGAGUUCAUAUCGACGGCGGUGUUUGGCACCUCGAUGUCGGCUCAUCACAUCCUGGGGCUGAAGUAGGUCCCAAGGGUAUGGCUGUUCGCCAUUUAAAGUGGUACGCGAGCUGGGUUUAGAACGUCGUGAGACAGUUCGGUCCCUAUCUGCCGUGGGCGCUGGAGAACUGAGGGGGGCUGCUCCUAGUACGAGAGGACCGGAGUGGACGCAUCACUGGUGUUCGGGUUGUCAUGCCAAUGGCACUGCCCGGUAGCUAAAUGCGGAAGAGAUAAGUGCUGAAAGCAUCUAAGCACGAAACUUGCCCCGAGAUGAGUUCUCCCUGAGACUUAAAGUCUCCUGAAGGAACGUUGAAGACGACGACGUUGAUAGGCCGGGUGUGUAAGCGCAGCGAUGCGUUGAGCUAACCGGUACUAAUGAACCGUGAGGCUUAACC